AUACCUCUAAAGGCUCUAGAGAUAGAGAGAUAGCUAUAGGGGAUACAGGUGGUGCAUGGUUGUCGUCAGCUCGUGUCGUGAGAUGUUGGGUUAAGUCCCGCAACGAGCGCAACCCUUGUCGCUAGUUACCAUCAUUAAGUUGGGGACUCUAGCGAGACUGCCUCUGCAAGGAGGAGGAAGGCGGGGAUGACGUCAAAUCAUCAUGCCCCUUAUGACCUGGGCUACACACGUGCUACAAUGGACGGAUCAAAGGGAAGCGAAGCCGCGAGGUGGAGCGAAACCCAAAAACCCGUUCUCAGUUCGGACCGCAGUCUGCAACUCGACUGCACGAAGUUGGAAUCGCUAGUAAUCGCGAAUCAGAAUGUCGCGGUGAAUACGUUCUCGGGCCUUGUACACACCGCCCGUCACACCAUGAGAGUUGGUAACACCCGAAGCCGGUGGCUUAACCGCAAGGAGAGAGCUGUCUAAGGUGGGACUGAUGAUUAGGGUGAAGUCGUAACAAGGUAUCCCUACGGGAACGUGCGGCUGGAUCACCUC
rnacentral:rRNA from 1 species